AUGUGCGGACGGGAUAAGUGCUGAAAGCAUCUAAGCAUGAAGCCCCCCUCAAGAUGAGAUUUCCCAUAGCGCAAGCUAGUAAGAACCCUGAAAGAUGAUCAGGUUGAUAGGUCAGAGGUGGAAGCGUGGUAACAUGUGGAGCUGACUGAUACUAAUCGUUCGAGGACUUAACCAA
rnacentral:rRNA from 1 species